rnacentral:rRNA from 1 species
CAAAAACAUCUCUCCUUGUUGGUAUAAGGAGUAGGCCCUGCCCUGUGAUAGAAUUUAACGGCGGCGUUAAGCUUUGAAGUAGCGUGAUAAGUUGUCCCCUAAUUGGGGUCUGGUAUGAAAGGGUUGACGGGAAGAGGCUGUCUUAGGACGAUAAUUAUGAAAUUUUCUUCCUAGUGAAAAGUCUGGGAUUCUAUUAAAAGACGAGAAGACCCCGUCGAGCUUGAAUAAAGCGUUUAAGGUGUAAAGUUUUGUUGGGGCAACAUCGGAGAAAAUAAACCUCUGAUUAUAAUGUGUGGAUCCUUGGGUUAGGAUAAUAAGAAAAAGUUACCGCGGGGAUAACAGCGCAAGAUAACCUGAGAGGCCUUAUUAAAGGUUGUAAUUGCGACCUCGAUGUUGGAUUAGGGCGGCACUUUGGAGUAGAAGCUAAAGAGGUGGGACUGUUCGUCCUUUGAACCCCUACAUGAUCUGAGU